AAAUUAACCAUAAGGUUAGAAUUUUUCAAUUGCAUUCCUCCUGUCAAGAAGAAUCAGGUGGAGGACUUCAGUCAAAUCUGCCCUGGCUUUAGGCAGCUCCUUUAGACUCUAGCAGCCCCUCCAGCUGCUGUUUUUUCUGCUGUGAAAUCUCAGUGAAACUAAUGAGCACCAUACAGGUUAAGACAUCUUCUGGCAACGGUAGUCAUGGAACUAUCUGCUUCUUACUAAAGAUGUAAUGGAGUUGAGGAAGCCAGCGGGAUUCUGCUCAUGAUGCUUUCUAAAGGAUUCAGUCUGUGCACCAGUUUAGCUCUGCUGGAAAUCCUCCCUGCUCCAGCUCAUUGCUCUGGGUUCAAGGACUGCCUAACCACAGGGGCUCCUGCGGUGAAUGGAAACUGCUCAGCAGUCAGGGACACAGAGAGAGUUGUGGUGGUCUGGCUCCUGAGGUGAGGAGUGUGAACUGGAACACACUGGAGACAGGAGAAGAGGAAUUUUGCUGAGGUUCAGCUUUAAGAGUUCUGCUUCAGACCAGAGAGAUUCUGUCUUCAUGGAACUGAGACAGGAAGAUUCCUGCUCCUUUCUUAGUUAACUAAGGAUUCAUAAGGUAGGCAUCCUUGUGUCUGUGACUUCUGAUGUACGCUUGACAUACGCCCAGCACACACUAAGUGAAGACUUUCUCUUCCAAAAUUCAUGCUGGAUUUGUCUUGCUCCUUGUGUAUUACUCAGGCAAUAUGGGAAAAAGAUGGCAUUCAGACUUCUGUACCAAGACCUGAUGGCAUGAGGUUGAGUUUUUAAAACUGUAAUGUACUUUGUAGGAGAAAUGUUCAGCCACAGAUACAUACGUGUACCUUCUAUUUGUUAUAGGUAUUCACUUGUUGAGAUUGGUAGGGGAAAAAAUGUUUAUUGAUUAAUUGAGAUAGUUGGAAAUGUGAGUGGUGAGGUGACUUUAUGGGUCAUAUGGACAUAUGUUCAAUUAGUGGUGUACCUCUGAACUUUUAGCUUAACUUUGUUAAGCUCUUCACCUGAAAGGUAUAUACUGUUAUGACUAUUUUUUACUGAUGGUUUGCCAUAUGACAUUUUACAUUGUGUUGUUUCAUUCUAACUCUGUCGCAAUAAGAUCUAUAAUGGCAUAAAGCUAUUUCCUUAC
rnacentral:lncRNA from 7 species